AAGCGCCAGGCAGCUGAGCCCGGCAGCGGUGCCUGGACCGGCCUCCUGCGUGGGGGCUGUUUGCAAUCGCCAUGGAGCAGGUACCGGGGAGCCCGCCAGCGCCCCGCUCCCCUCAGACCCAGGGAUCUGGUAAAUCAUCUCAAGAAUAAAGUCAGAUUGAGAAGGUCUUCAGCUGAUGAUUCUAUUCUGGGGAAAAAUCCCCAAAGUAACUCAGUUGCAAGCUUUUACAAUUUUGCUGCAGUUGAAGGAAAAGUUGAUUUGUAGUCUGCAUUUCCCCAGAAAGAUUAAAUUCAAUGAGUAUGGCAGUACAUACCAGUAACAUUUACUUCAGCAUUUCAACUGGUACAUUCUCUAAACUCUCCAAGGGCUUGUUGGUGUAUGACAAUGACAUUUCAACAUUACAACUAAUGCUCUUCUCAACUGUCUGCUUUCUAAUGUCCUCCUGGGUUGCUAGGGCAUCUCUCAGUAAGAGCAAGGACACUUCCCAUCUCUAGUUACCUAAUAGCCAAGGGUUGCAUGGAGUCUACUUUCCCCUCUACCUCUAAUUCUUGUAGUAUGAUUUUCUCCCUCAGAUAAAUCAUCAUCUUCCACAGAUAAGGGCUGAUUAGUAAGGGUGUGACUGGUCAUCAAGGGAGGUACCUCUAAAAUAAGCUCCACAGAGUGCUAUGGCAAGAUGAAGCAGAACGGUAAAAGAGAGAUUUAGCAAAAAAAAAAAAAAAAAAAAAAAAAAAAGUUUCAGCUGGGAAAAGUCAUGUCUAUUGGGAGAGUUGUUGAAAGACACAGAAAGUGAAUAUUUUAUUGGAUUUUACUAUUGGUGGAAGGGACAAAGAUUUGUGGAGUUGUAGGCUUUGGCUUGAGACCCGAGAAGUGUCUUUACGAAUGCCUGACAGGCCUAGAAGUCUGAUUCUCCAGUAAGUAUCUCUAGUUGACCUAUGAAUGGGAAGGGAGAACUUGGAGCUUCUUGAACAAUUUUCUCAAGACAACAGCUGCCUUGUGAAGCCAUGAAGAAUUCAGCACAUUCCUUUUGCUGCAACUGUCUCAGAGGCAGAUGAAGGACUAUGGGAUGGCAUGGAGGAGGGACCAACAGGUCAUCAGAACAAUGGCUGUUGAACACAGAGGGGUGAAGACAGUGGAAUGCUGUGAAAAUCCUAGAGACUUAAAUAUUCAGGUAUGUUGCUUUUCACUUUGAAUCACUUCACUUUUUCGCUAAGAAUUUUCUGCAGAUGUGAAAUCUAUAUAAACAAGGAAAACUGCCGUUUGUGUAAAAAGGUUCAAAUGAAUGACUCAGUAGUCAGAAGAUUUAAAUAUUACAUUUUCAUAGGAAGGUUAACAUAGCUAGUAUAUUUGUGUGCGCAACAGAGCAGUUCACAUUACAUUUCCCAACUUCUGAUUCAUUCGUUUUGCAAUCUUAUGACACCAAUGUCUUUCUUUUGAACUAGAAUACAUCUACACAGCAAAAGAAUCUCAGAGCCUAGUGUACCGGGGGGGUGGGGGUGGCGCGUGGCGCAGGAGCAGGAGCUACAGUGCUAAAAUAGCUAUGUAGAUGUUGGGGUUCAGGGAAGGGCUUCAGAGUUCAAUCUCCAGCCUGAGCUUGAAUGUCUACACAGCUAUUUUUAGAGCUGUAGUGCAAGCCCCCUGAGCCCA